UAAUCUGUCCGAGGCAAAUCCUUAUCUAGUUAUGGUAGACCCACACUUGACUGCUUAAAACCACCCGUUAUGAUAGGCCCGACUACAUCAAAUAUUUUAUAUUUAUUAAAUUAUCAAAUU
rfam:Populus trichocarpa scaffold_1_contig_185, whole genome shotgun sequence.